rnacentral:lncRNA from 1 species
GGUCAAUUUACAUUAAUUUUAUUUAUUUUAUUUCAGUACAAAAAAAUAGAAUUUUGAAAAAAUGGCGAAGCAUGAAAAAUUUCGCAGAAAAAUCUCGUGAGGAAGAGGAGCUGCUCGUACGGGAUGCCUAUGCACUAUGCGCGCGCACAAAAGGCGUGGGACGUGCACACAACAUGCACGUCCCAUCUGCACGUGCGGCACAGGGUCAGACCAUGUGUGUGUCUUAUCACGCACAGGCGGGCUGUCCGCGCGUCACCUCACACGCGGAUAGGCGCUGCAUACUAUGCGCGUGUCGUUUAUGUAGCAAGCUUGCACAAAUAGGCCUUUGUGUGCCUGGGGCCUGUGCGCAGUAGGCUUGCGCAUGCUAUAGGAGGUCUAUGCACCUAUAGGCUAGCCUGCAGUGUGCCGGGCGGGCCGCUGCUUCUUCAAGCAAUGCGUCGCCGUCGCCUCAGGCGGUAGAGGAGACUUUUUUCCCUUGUUUUUCGUGUCGAGUAUCUUUUUUCCUCUCUCUUCAUUGAAUUUCACCACUUGGCGCAAAUCUAACGAUUCCUAAUUUUUAUAAAUAGGGUCUUUCCUUUCCAUUUUUCCCCACACUUCCAUUCUUCCAUUUUUUUUAAGAAUUAGAGAGAGAGAAAUCUAGAGAGAGAAUGGGAUGAAGAAAAUGAGAAUGACGAAGAAAAAAUAUCAAGAUUUCAGUAAGAAAUUUAAUAUUUCUUUAGAUAUCUGAAGGGUAUUUUUUAG